CAGAAAAAUAUCUCACUUUUCUUUAUGAAUAGGGAGCUGAAUGGCUUAGAGCGUCAGCUAACCGCUCUAGCCAAUCAAUGGCGGCACUCUGCUCUUCCCCGCUCUGAAUGAGGGACCUGGAGAUCAGUGCUGGAGGCAAACUUUGGGGUUAAGCCAUUCAAAAGCAGUUUAACCUCUUAAGGCAGGGGUUCUCAACGUUAGUCCUCAGGACCCCCUACCAGUCCAGGGUUUAGG